AUAUUUACAUGUGUGUGUGUUUUGCAAAAGAAAAAACCCCCAUGAUCAACAGGUUUUUCCAAGGUGAGGCCUGUCUAAUGUGCUCUGGGCAGACUGACCCCUGCAAGUUUCCCAAAUGGAGGAAACUCAACAGCACAAUUUUGUGGUAAUAGGGGACUGUGUUGUGCUUUCCCCCU
ensembl:snRNA U1 U1 spliceosomal RNA